AUGUUUCCAGAAUCUAAUCAUGGCUUAUCAUUUCCAAAACUAGAAGUUCUUGCUAUUGAUGGAUGUCCCCUAUUAGAGGCCAUAAGUCCUUUUCUCUUUGCUCAAGAACUUCCAGUACUAAAAACUGUUAAUCCUACAAUUCUGUUACAUUGUGUGAUUAUGAUGAAUAAUACGAUUUCACCAUUUCAAGACCUUAUGCCACCUCUUCAUCAACUUCAUGCUUUGUCUAUAAGUCACUAA